AACGAACGUUGGCGGCGUGGAUAAGGCAUGCAAGUCGAACGAGAAAGGACCCUUCGGGGUCUGAGUAGAGUGGCGAACGGGUGAGUAACGGGUGGGAAACCUGCCUUUGCGUGGGGGAUAACAUUCCUAACGGGGUGCUAAUACCGCAUGAAUCGGCGAGUCGCAUGGCUCGCCGGGAAAGAUGGCCUCUACAUGUAAGCUGUCGCGCGAAGAUGGUCCCGCUUCCCAUUAGCUUGUUGGGGGGUAACGGCCCACCAAGGCCACGAUGGGUAGCCGGCCUGAGAGGGUGUCCGGCCACACUGGGACUGAGAUACGGCCCAGACUCCUACGGGAGGCAGCAGCCUAGAAGCUUCGGCAAUGGGCGAAAGCCUGACCGAGCGACGCCGCGUGAGGGAUGAAGGCCCUAGUGGUUGUAAACCUCUGUCAGGGGGGAAUAAAGCCGUGUAGCGAAUAACUACGCGGGUUGAAGGUACCUCCAAAGGAAGCUCCGGCUAACUCCGUG
rnacentral:rRNA from 1 species